rnacentral:sRNA from 1 species
UCAGCGGAUAGAAGGGACCCAGGUGCUCUCAGGAAUUCGGUGGUUUGGACGCUCCAUCCAUGGGGUGAAGGACCUUGAAGGGGACGGCUUGGCAGACAUGGCUGUGGGGGCUGAGAGCCAGAUGAUCCUGCUGAGCCGAGAUCCCAGUGCAUGAAGUGGAGUGCUCCUAUUCAACCAGUAACAAGAUGAAAGAAGGAGUUAAUAUCACAAUCUGUUUCCAGAUCAAGUCUCUCAUCCCCCAGUUCCAAGGUCAGAGCUCUCCUCCUGCUCCCAGGGCAGCUGCCGCCCCAAAUCCAGGCUUAUGGCCUGGGAUCCCCCACCAUUCAACUCUUGCCUUUUCCGCCCUGCCCAGGCCGCCUGGUUGCCAAUCUCACUUACACUCUGCAGCUGGAUGGCCACCGGACCAGAAGACGGGGGUUGUUCCCAGGAGGGAGACAUGAACUCAGAAGGAACAUAGCUGUCACCACCAGCAUGUCCUGCACUGACUUCUCAUUUCAUUUCCCGGUAUGUGUUCAAGACCUCAUCUCCCCCAUCAAUGUUUCCCUGAAU